GAUGAAGAACGUAGCGAAAUGCGAUAAGUAAUGUGAAUUGCAGAAUUCAGUGAAUCAUCGAAUCUUUGAACGCACCUUGCGCCCCUUGGUAUUCCAUGGGGCAUGCCUGUUCGAGCGUCAUUUGUACCUUCAAGCUUUGCUUGGUGUUGGGUGUUUGUCCCGAGGGACUCGCCUUAAAGUAAUUGGCAGCCAGUGUUUGGUUUUGAAGCGCAGCACAAGUCGCGAUUCAAGGCUACACGCCCGCUUCCACAAGCCUUUUUUCACUUUUGACCUCGGAUCAGGUAGGGAUACCCGCUGAACUUAAGCAUAUCAAUAAGCGGAGGA
rnacentral:misc_RNA from 1 species